rnacentral:lncRNA from 13 species
ACCACGAAGGAGUCCUUUCAUUCCUCCUUUUACUUUCGCAAGAAAGUAGGUGCAUUAAAAAUAAAAUGUAUGAAAAUACAUGUCUAAAGAGAAGAGAGAAGAUCUGAACCUACGCAACGGUGUGCCCCGCCAAAGUUUCACCUCAGGAUGUGUUUUAGGGUGUGUCUUUGAUUUAGCCCUGCAAUUAAUAAAAAAAAAAUCCCACUCCUUCGGGGAGCCCCGGUACUUUCCUCAUCCACCCUCACAAGCUACCAGGCUCUGAAAUCACUGAGUACCUCAGCCGCGCCCUGAUUUCCCCUGAGAGACAGCGGCGGCCGCGGCCCGAGGCCCCAAGCAGUUACAGCAGCAGGGACGGCGUCCUCCCGCCUCCCAGGUCAGCGCCCGCCCCGCGUCCGAGGGGAGCUAGAGAGGCUCACCCUGGAGGCCGGGGGACAGGAGGGCGCCACCACCUCAGCCCGGGAGCCCGGGCCUCCGUCCCGCCCCGGACUGCGCGCCUAGUCCUGGGCUGCCCCCGGAACCCCGCUCUUACCGUGCGGAGGUCGCGCUGCCUCCUAUGCCGAGGCCCGGCAGCAGGCCGCCCAGCGACCUGCGGGCCCGAGGACUGACGGUGAAGCUAGGGCCGCCCGUCACAUCUCCGCAGUCCCGGCCGCUGGAACCGCAGCUCCCAGCAUCGCGUCCGGGGCCUGAGGGAGCGCCGGACUCCAAAACCGCCGCUCCCGGUCCCUCUGCCGGCGGCGGCCUGGACUCCGCCCUCCGAGGUCCGCGAAACCGCGCAGCCCCGCCCCGCAGCGGACCCGUACGCAGGUUUUUGCUCGGCCCACGCAGUGACGCCAGUCUUGCGGUCGACCUCACCUCUAGCGGUCCCUUGGACUACAUUUGCUGCCUGACGGUGAUCAAACCUGACAGCUCCUUCUCCAGGAUGUGAAAAAGUGUUGCUCUAUCACCCAGGUUGGAGUUCGGUGGCGCUGUCGCAGCUUACUGCAGCCUCCUGGACUCAAGCGAUCCUCUCGCCUCAGGCAUGCAUCUCCAUGCCUAUGAAAUAAUUACAUCUAAGACCACACUGGUCAAAAUAAACUAUCACAUAUUGACCUAACUACA